AUCUAUGGCCAUAGCCCGCUGAACAUGCCUGACCUCAGAAGCUAAGCUGGGUCAGGCCUGCUAAAUACUUGGAUAGGAGAAUGCUGGAUGCCAUUAAUU
rnacentral:rRNA from 1 species